UACGGAAGGCAGCAGUGGGGAAUAUUGCACAAUGGGCGUAAGCCUGAUGCAGCCAUGCCGCGUGUAUGAAAAAGGCCUUCGGGUUGUAAAGUACUUUCAGUCGUGAGGAAGGUGUUAAGGUUAAUAACCUUAGCAAUUGACGUUAGCGACAGAAGAAGCACCGGCUAACUCCGUGCCAGCAGCCGCGGUAAUACGGAGGGUGCGAGCGUUAAUCGGAAUUACUGGGCGUAAAGGGCACGCAGGCGGUUAAUUAAGUUGGAUGUGAAAUCCCCGGGCUUAACCUGGGAAUGGCAUUCAAGACUGGUUAGCUAGAGUCUUGUAGAGGGGGUAGAAUUCCGAUGUGUAGCGGUGAAAUGCGUAGAGAUGUGGAGGAAUACCGGUGGCGAAGGCGGCCCUCUGGACAAAGACUGACGCUCAUGUGCGAAAGCGUGGGGAGCAAACG
rnacentral:rRNA from 1 species